CAUUAGAUACCCCUGUAGUCCCAGCCGUAAACUAUGCUCGCUAGGUGUCAGGCAUGGCGCGACCGUGUCUGGUGCCGCAGGGAAGCCGUGAAGCGAGCCACCUGGGAAGUACGGCCGCAAGGCUGAAACUUAAAGGAAUUGGCGGGGAGCACCACAACGGGUGGAGCCCGCGGUUUAAUUGGACUCAACGCCGGGAAGCUCACCGGAUAAGACAGCGGAAUGAUUGCCGGGCUGAAGACUCUGCAUGACUAGCUG
rnacentral:rRNA from 1 species